rnacentral:lncRNA from 1 species
UGCACAAGCUUCUUGAACAUCCCUAACAGCUGCUUGUUCCACUAUGUUCCUCACAUUAAAUCUCUUAAUAGCCUUGUUACCUUAGGGCAGCACUUUCCACAGUUAGAGCAGCGGAUGAACUUGACGUGACCGCGACCGUGCUUGUUCCGUCCGCCGUUUCUUCGCUUGAAAGUCUGCAAAGAGAGAAAUUAGGUUAACGGAAUAGAUCGAUGAAGGAUGCG